GGAGGGGCAUGGCUCAAUGAUAGAGCCUUUGCUUUGCAUGCAGAAUGUCCCAGGUUCCCUUCCUGGCCUCUCCU
rnacentral:tRNA from 1 species